GUGGGGAAUCUUGCGCAAUGGGCGAAAGCCUGACGCAGCCAUGCCGCGUGAAUGAUGAAGGUCUUAGGAUUGUAAAAUUCUUUCACCGGGGACGAUAAUGACGGUACCCGGAGAAGAAGCCCCGGCUAACUUCGUGCCAGCAGCCGCGGUAAUACGAAGGGGGCUAGCGUUGCUCGGAAUUACUGGGCGUAAAGGGCGCGUAGGCGGACAGUUUAGUCAGAGGUGAAAGCCCAGGGCUCAACCUUGGAAUUGCCUUUGAUACUGGCUGUCUUGAGUACGGGAGAGGUGAGUGGAACUCCGAGUGUAGAGGUGAAAUUCGUAGAUAUUCGGAAGAACACCAGUGGCGAAGGCGACUCACUGGCCCGUUACUGACGCUGAGGCGCGAAAGCGUGGGGAGCAAACAGGAUUAGAAACCCCAGUAGUCC
rnacentral:rRNA from 1 species